CCACUCUCUCUCUCUCUCACUUUCUCUCAAAUCCUCUCAAUGUUUCCCGAUUGUUUGCCGAUUAGCUGCGAUUUUUUCUCCAAUUUUGAAGUGCUUCUCAGCAGUUUUCUCCGUAUAUUCAAGUAGACAUAUCUAAAGGUUGUCCAAUGGCUUCAAAAUACUUUAAUUUUAGAUGGAAACUUGGGGGGAUGUUGAUGAGUGAAGUAGGGCCACUGUUUGUUGGGGGUAGGAUUGAAUAUUCCUUCAACAUUGACUUUGAUCACUUGUCUAUCCAGAACCAGUAGAUAUUGCUAAAGAUUUUGGGAUUAAAAAGUCAGGGACAACUUAUAUUGUACCUUCUAAGGGUGGCAAAGUGGUAGAAUUAAAACAGGACAGGGAUUUAUUAGACCUUGGAGUAUUGUUAAAUGAUGGGGACACAAUAGAUAUUCUUGUCUGCAAUGACUCUAAUUUUGAGGAUGUGGGGCAUAUUAAUCAACAUGUGACAAGUGAGGGAGGAGGUGGUAGUGAAUUAACAAAUGUAAAUGGGGGCAGCAGGGAAUGUGGCCCUAUUUUUAAUCCCCAAACACCAACUAUAGAUCUAGAUCUAGUAGAAGAUAUUGUCAAUGCUGCCAGUGAUGAUUUACAGGGAGAAAAUAUUGUUAGUAGUGAUGUAGAAAAUUCCAAUACUUCAUCAGUAUCUGAAUUUGAACUUUCCGAUGACUAUGGAAGUGAUAUUCAUGAAAAACUUAGGGUUGUGAAACAAGAUCUGAAGGCUUACAACAAAAAAAAAGGGAAAAAAUGAUAGGAAAGAAAAACCAGAUGGGUUUCUAGGUGAGGCUGGUCUUGAUGAAGGUUAUGAAGAUAUUGAUAAAGUUAAAAAAAAAUCUAAAAGAUAAAUUGGGAGGUGAUGAUGAUAAGCCAUAUUAUGACUCAUCAGAUGCAGAUAGUUUUGCUAGUGAAUCUGAUGGUGAAGCUGUCAGUGAUGAUGAAGUAGGAGGAGGGAACUUCAGGGAAA